rnacentral:tRNA from 15 species
GGGCGCGUAGCUCAGUGGUAGAGCAACACCCUUUUAAGGUGAAGGUCGGUGGUUCGAGCCCACCCGCGCUCACAA